CUCGCGCGAAAAUGUUAAAAAUAUAUGCAAAAAUAAAUACAACUUUUUCAGUAUAAAAUCCGAACCACAAGUCAGUGGCGUAACUACUAUGGGCUCAGACCGUGAGAACCCGGGGGCCCCAACCUAAAUGGGGGCCCCCAGGCUUAGGCAAUAGAGCAAAAACAUUGGUCAGGGCCUCUGAUAUGUUACAAUGUAGUUUUAUGACCAUCAGAAUUCUGUAAAAUCUCUCCCCAAAGUCCAGGAAAUGGCAUUUCAGAGAGUCUAAAUUCAAAAAUUUUCCGGAUAAGCAUGCCCUGGACCCCCUAGAAAUUUCGUGCAUAUACGGCGCUCGACUCGUGCCUUUGACACUUCUACUAGGGGGGCCUUCGAAAAUUUUGAACCGGGGGCCCCCUGAUAUAACGUUACGCCACUGCCACAAGUCAUGUUUAUUUUGAUGUUUUGAGUCUUCCUUGUUCUCAUUUGUUCUCAAAGAACAAACUUCGUCCUGAUUUAGCUCUGAACAUUGAAUAACUAGUCUUUUUAGAAGACAUUUUAAGGUAAAAAAAUGCAAUGUUCAACUUUCAAACUCUUGUGAAAACUGGCGAUCGGCCCCGGACCGGCGAAAAGUUUUUUACUCCAAUAUUUGGCGAUUUAUAAGUUCAUAUCCAGAGUUUUUUUGUACUUACAACUGGUAAAUGUAUUCAAAGUGUUACUAACAGCAAAGGAAUUCAGUGAAACAGCAUCAUGCGCCGGCUCAAACUGUUUUAACUUGUCAACAACAACAUGAAAACACACAAGUUACGACUGAAAACGAAUAUAAAACUAUGUAGAAAAGCCAAAAAGUUCAUACAUGUCACACAUAUCUUAUACCAAACGACCGACAAUCACCUGUUCUCUUGGCGUUAUCCCGAGUUAGCAUGAAAAACCAAA